rnacentral:rRNA from 1 species
GACGAACGCUGGCGGCGUGCCUAAUACAUGCAAGUAGAACGCACAGUUUAUACCGUAGCUUGCUACACCAUAGACUGUGAGUUGCGAACGGGUGAGUAACGCGUAGGUAACCUGCCUGGUAGCGGGGGAUAACUAUUGGAAACGAUAGCUAAUACCGCAUAAUAUUAAUUAUUGCAUGAUAAUUAAUUGAAAGGUGCAAUUGCACCACUACCAGAUGGACCUGCGUUGUAUUAGCUAGUAGGUGAGGUAACGUCUCACCUAGGCGACGAUACAUAGCCGACCUGAGAGGGUGAUCGGCCACACUGGGACUGAGACACGGCCCAGACUCCUACGGGAGGCAGCAGUAGGGAAUCUUCGGCAAUGGACGAAAGUCUGACCGAGCAACGCCGCGUGAGUGAAGAAGGUUUUCGGAUCGUAAAGCUCUGUUGUAAGAGAAGAACGGGUGUGAGAGUGGAAAGUUCACACUGUGACGGUAUCUUACCAGAAAGGGACGGCUAACUACGUG